rnacentral:rRNA from 1 species
UACGUAGGGUCCGAGCGUUGUCCGGAAUUAUUGGGCGUAAAGGGCUCGUAGGCGGUUUGUCACGUCGGGAGUGAAAACUCAGGGCUCAACCCUGAGCGUGCUUCCGAUACGGGCAGACUAGAGGUAUGCAGGGGAGAACGGAAUUCCUGGUGUAGCGGUGGAAUGCGCAGAUAUCGAGAGGAACACCUGCGGCGAAGGCGGGUAGCUGGGCCGACACUGACGCUGAGGCGCGAAAGCCAGGGGAGCGAACGGG